rnacentral:rRNA from 1 species
UACGGGGGGAGCAAGCGUUGUUCGGAUUUACUGGGCGUAAAGAGCGCGUAGGCGGCCAGUGCAAGUCAGUUGUGAAAUCUCCGAGCUUAACUCGGAAAGGUCAACUGAUACUGCUCGGCUAGAGUGCGGAAGGGGCAACUGGAAUUCUUGGUGUAGCGGUGAAAUGCGUAGAUAUCAAGAGGAACACCUGCGGCGAAGGCGGGUUGCUGGGCCGACACUGACGCUGAAGCGCGAAAGCUAGGGGAGCGAACGGG